rnacentral:tmRNA from 1 species
ACUAUUAUUUUUUUAGGGUAAUAGGGUUAAAACCUAAUCUAAAAUCGCUUUCUACAUCCCUGUUGGUCGGGUGGUAGGAAGUUAAAACAAUAGACCUGAACUAAGCAUGUAGAUUUCUUGACUGAAGGUUUUCGGACGGGGGUUCAACUCCCCCCAUCUCCACCA